rnacentral:sRNA from 1 species
AGGACAGACAAUUCCUCAGUGACCCAGGAGCUGACACACUAUGGCGCACGUCCGAGGCUUGCAGCUGCCUGGCUGCCUGGCCCUGGCUGCCCUGUGUAGCCUUGUGCACAGCCAGCAUGUGUUCCUGGCUCCUCAGCAAGCGCGGUCGCUGCUCCAGCGGGUCCGGCGAGCCAACACCUUCCUGGAGGAGGUGCGCAAGGGCAACCUGGAGCGAGAGUGUGUGGAGGAGACGUGCAGCUACGAGGAGGCCUUCGAGGCUCUGGAGUCCUCCACGGCUACGGUGAGCCUGGGCUGCUCGGACGGUGCCGGGGCCUCAGACCGGGCCCAACUCUAGACACUUCCACAGAGAAGCAAGCGAGGAACGCCACAGCCCCUUCGCUGCUCACAGCCUCAUUUCAACUCUGAGCCCCUCCUCACAGGGCUGGCAAGAGGAGCGGCCUCAGCCUUUCCUGGGGGUCUCUGUGCCUGGACUGUGUCCCUGUGCAGCUCCAUGACAUGGGGAGGCCUCCACAGUCUUCAGACAUCCACCUGCCCUGGAGCUCUGUGUCCACAUGGCCUCCUCAGCGGCAGACUCCCACACCACCCUUGAGGGGUGGGACUCUGGGGAGGC